rnacentral:rRNA from 1 species
GAUGAACGCUGGCGGUGUGCCUAAUACAUGCAAGUCGAGCGGCCGGACGAUAAGCUUGCUUCUCUGAUAUUAGCGGCUGACGGGUGAGUAACACGUGGAUAACCUACCUAUAAUACGUGGAUAACUUCGUGAAACCACAUCUGAUACCGCAUCAUACUUCCUACGGCAGGGUUCAAAAGUGAAUCACACUCUUGCUGUCUCUUAUAGAUGGAUCCGCGUUGCAUUAGCUAGUUGGUAAGGUAACGGCUUACCAAGGCAACGAUGCAUAGCCGACCUGAGAGGGUGAUCAGCCACACUGGAACUGAGACACGGUCCAGACUCCUACGGGAGGCAGCAGUAGGGAAUCUUCGGCAAUGGGCGAAAGCCUGACGGAGCAACGCCGCGUGAGUGAUGAAGGUCUUCGGAUCGUAAAACUCUGUUAUUAGGGAAGAAAAUCUGUGUAUGAAACUGUGGAUAUCUUGACGGUACCCAAUCAGAAAGCACCGGCUAACUACGUG